CCAGAGACUUCUGAUGACAUUGUUUUUUAAACAUCUUUUAUUAGUCAAGAUUUGAUUCAUCAUAUAAGAAGGAGGGUACAGGAUGCUGCUCUCAGCUCUCUGAGCACCACCCAAGAGAGUGCCAGCUUGUUUCCAGUCUGCCUAUAGCCCUGAAGGGGCCGAUACUCCCAAAACUAUUGGCUAAAUGACAGAGCCUUCAUCCAGUAGCUGAUGGAAGAAGAAGCAGAGGCCCACAGCUAAGCACUGAGCCAAACUCCGGAAAUCCAGUUGUAGAGAGGAAGGAGCGAUGAGCAAAGGGGUCAAGACUAUGCUGCGGAAACCUACAGAAACAGCUGACCUGAGCAAGUGAGAACACAUAGACACCAGUCAUAAAGCUGGGGAACCAACAUUGGACCAAACCAAGCCCUCUGAAUGUGGGUGACAGUUAGGAGGCCUGGGCAGUCUAUGGGACCUCUAACAAUGGAACCAGUAUUU
ensembl:lncRNA